CCUCAUCUCUCUCUCUCCCGCGACUGUGAGCACAGCAAACGAUGGCGUCGAGCGAUGGGGUUAAGGAGCCUCACUCUUUUGUUUCUCACUCCGUUGGCUUUCCCUCUGCUGCUCUCAUUCCAGUGGCGAAGGAGCUGCUCAGGGACCACCGCAGCCAUUAAUAGCAGGCUCGAAGCUUUCAGCUUCAAGAACAUCGGUCUGCUCAGAUUCACAUGAUUGAAGAGACUCUCCGAUUCGUCGGUGUUCCUGGACAUUCUUAUAUUUUGCAAUUGUUUUGUUGAAUCCACGAUGGAAUGCGAAGGUGAUUACAUCUGUGGCGAGAGGAUUUUUCUGGACCUUUAUAGCCAUAAAUUGUUAUUGGACAGUUUAAAAAAUCAAUGAAAAAUUUGGUAAUGUCUCCUUCUCCAAUGGAUACAUCUCAAAAUGGACAUAUAAAACAUCUUGAUGGGGGAUACUCACUAUUCGAAAUUGAAGAUAUUGAUUUGUGGAAGUUAUUGGACAAGCCGAGAUCUAUUAACAUAGAGAGGAAUCAAUCCUUCGAUGAGAGGUCCUUCAGUGAGAUGUCGAUCUCUUUAUCACCGCCAUGCCAUUUAUUCAGAAGUUUUGAAAAUGCCGCCUCGCAUGUGUUUGAUCAUAUCGACAGUGUUUAUUCUCCGGGUAGAAAAUCUAGAAUUGGUAGCCCUAGAAUAAGUAGAGUUGAGACACAUCCCAUAGUCUUCGAGGCAUGGGAGUCUUUGAGGCAUUCAUUGGUUUAUUUUCGUGGGCAACAAGUUAGGACUAUUGCUGCUGUAGACCAUUC